GACGAACGCUGGCGGCGUGCUUAACACAUGCAAGUCGAACGGAAAGGCCCUGCUUUUGUGGGGUGCUCGAGUGGCGAACGGGUGAGUAACACGUGAGUAACCUGCCCUUGACUUUGGGAUAACUUCAGGAAACUGGGGCUAAUACCGGAUAGGAGCUCCUGCUGCAUGGUGGGGGUUGGAAAGUUUCGGCGGUUGGGGAUGGACUCGCGGCUUAUCAGCUUGUUGGUGGGGUAGUGGCUUACCAAGGCUUUGACGGGUAGCCGGCCUGGGAGGGUGACCGGCCACAUUGGGCCUGAGCUACGGCCCAGACUCCUACGGGAGGCAGCAGUGGGGAAUAUUGCACAAUGGGCGGAAGCCUGGUGCAGCAACGCCGCGUGCGGGAUGACGGCCUUCGGGUUGUAAACCGCUUUCGCCUGUGACGAAGCGUGAGUGACGGUAAUGGGUAAAUAAGCACCGGCUAACUACGUG
rnacentral:rRNA from 1 species